GUGUUUCUGUUCGCAAAGCCCGUGCGACGCUCGCCUUUUUGCUCGAAGAUGGGCAAGCCUUCAUCCCUGUUGCUAGUCUGGAUCUUCGCGUCCUACGACUAAAUAUACAAAGGGAAUGACAGAAAGAGAAAGGCGGAGGUUCACUCAAAAAACUAAAUACUUCACUAUUUGGAAAAAGAGAAUUACAACCUACAAACACAAUCUCUGGUGUCCUUUGGCCUAAGCCAAACCUCACUAUAGAUAGGCUCCUAUAUACAUUGAAUCUAGUCAUCCACUAACUCUCUCAUUAUAACACAUUAACUCACCCUCAUAAUGAGCCAUAAAUCCAAGAGUCACCCCAUAACUUAUGGGAGUUUCAUAACUUUUGAGUUUCCCAUAGCGGGUUUGGUUCGGGUCUCUUUAAUGACCUGCUCCGCUAGCGAAAUUGGGCCACUGU
rnacentral:lncRNA from 1 species